rnacentral:rRNA from 1 species
UACGUAGGGGGCUAGCGUUGCUCGGAAUCACUGGGCGUAAAGGGUGCGUAGGCGGGUCUUAAGUCAGGGGUGAAAUCCUGGAGCUCAACUCCAGAACUGCCUUUGAUACUGGCGAUCUUGAGUCCGGGAGAGGUGAGUGGAACUGCGAGUGUAGAGGUGAAAUUCGUAGAUAUUCGCAAGAACACCAGUGGCGAAGGCGGCUCACUGGCCCGGUACUGACGCUGAGGUGCGAAAGCGUGGGAGCAA